rnacentral:rRNA from 1 species
UACGUAGGGGGCAAGCGUUGUCCGGAAUCAUUGGGCGUAAAGCGCGUGUAGGCGGCCCGGUAAGUCCGCUGUGAAAGUCGGGGGCUCAACCCUCGAAUGCCGGUGGAUACUGUCGGGCUCGAGUCCGGAAGAGGCGAGUGGAAUUCCUGGUGUAGCGGUGGAAAUGCGCAGAUAUCAGGAGGAACACCAAUUGCGAAGGCAGCUCGCUGGGACGUGACUGACGCUGAGACGCGAAAGCGUGGGGAGCAAACAGG